AGGCAAGGAAGGCGAAGUGGAGCGGGGUGUGCGUCUGUGUGUGUGUGGGGGGGUGCACGUUCCGUUGGCAAAUGGGGCAGACCACCACCUCUCCCCUCCCCUCCCGCGCGCGUCCCUCGGGCAGAGCGGCCGUGGCGAUCGUCACUGUGCAGCGGAGGGGAUGAAUCAAGCAGGCAUCUGAGCGGAGCGCGGGCACCUUCCGCAAUCCAUUCAGGCACUGAAGCGCGUGAAAGGCUGCUGAUCGCUGCCAUUGUUACACGCGGCCGAUGUGGGAACCGGAGCCUCAGCUCUGGCAAGAGAUAAAUAGCCUCUGACAGCGCCUCCUCGCCAGGGAAUCGCCUCCAAUUGCACGCGGCGGAUGCUCCCAGAGUUAGAAGUCGAGGCCUUGUGGCUUCUCUCUCAGUUGCCGGUGCGCUGCAUCUGUGUCACAUGCCUCACAAAAUCUGAAACAUGUUCUUUCCUGUCUGCCGAGCGCGCACCGGCGCUCUGUGUGCGCCAGGGCCAACGCCGGCCGACGUUUCCACUCGAACUGCAACCACUGAGAGUUGAAAACAUGGUCGUCCCCGCACGCCUAUUUAUGUUUACGCAGAAGUAAAGCCCCAUUGAUUUCAGUGGAACUUGCUCCCCAGUCCGUUUGUUUAGGAUUGCAGCCCAAGUGUGUGACUUUCCAGGACGGAACACAAUCCCUGUUAGAAACUUGGCAGCGGCAGCCGGAGAGGUUUUUCGCCUGCGAGCACACAUUUUGAGCACUUUGGGGCCAGCAGAAAGCCACGCAUUGCUCCGCCACCCAUUGGCCCAGAAAAACAGCACGGACUUCCAGCCCCGGCCCCCUUCUGCUGCCGCGCCAGAUUCCUGGACUUCGCGAUGAACAGGCUGGCGCGCUCGACGGCGUUGAAAUAGCUAAUCGCUCGGGAUGUCGCAGCUCCUAGCAUACUUACCUAGGUAUAAACAGUUUAUUCAGGCAACGUAAGAGUGUUUUAAGGACGCUGCAGCGAAAAUUAAGAGCGAGGGCUUGGUAUAAUCACCUCUGUAGCCAGUGACAAUAAAAUUCCAUUCAUUUCCA